GAUGAAGAACGUAGCGAAAUGCGAUAACUAAUGUGAAUUGCAGAAUUCAGUGAAUCAUCGAGUCUUUGAACGCACAUUGCGCCCCCUGGUAUUCCGGGGGGCAUGCCUGUCCGAGCGUCAUUGCUGCCCUCAAGCACGGCUUGUGUGUUGGGCUCCGUCCCCCCGGGGACGGGCCCGAAAGGCAGCGGCGGCACCGAGUCCGGUCCUCGAGCGUAUGGGGCUUUGUCACCCGCUCUGUAGGCCCGGCCGGCGCCAGCCGACAACCCAUCAUCCUUUUCAGGUUGACCUCGGGUCAGGUAGGGAUACCCGCUGAACUUAAGCAUAUCAAUAAGCGGAGGA
rnacentral:misc_RNA from 1 species